GAAUCAUCAUCCAUCCCCGUCGUCCACUCCUCCGACACCUCCCACUGACCGCUGCUGGGCCGCCACUUGGGUUGCCUUCUUCAACCUUCCUCUCAAUCUGGCAUCUUUCCCCUCCCUUCCCCUUCCAUUGGAUAGGUAGAUAGAUUCAUUGGUUGCCCCCCCUGAACUGUAGACUGAGACUGGAGGCUGGAACUGGGAUUGGAUUUCCGGUACAAGUGGAAAUGAAAUGAAAUCUCCACCCCACUGAUCGAUCUUUCUGGCCGUUCCUCUCCCUUGGGAGAGGAGAGAGAGAGAGGAGGGGGGAAAGAGGCCGUCGAAUCCUUGCAUCGUCGUCUUCUCGCUUUGCUUGGCGUUGGUUCCACUUGCACACCAUUCGAUUUCUCUGGUGGCGUCCGCAAGUCAAGUCCACCUCGUCAAAGCAAGCAAACCUCUCUCUCUCUCUCUCUCUCUCUCUCUCUCUCUCUCUCUCUCUCUCUCCUGCCAUCAGUCAGAGUCAAGCAAAGCUCCCAUUUUUCCCUCGCAGCAGCAGCGGCAGCCCUCCCUCUGCCAUGUCCGGCACCACCACCGCGGCGGCGACGCAGCCCAAGCCCCACCACCUCCCAAAAGCCUGAUUCAUGGCCCCGGCCCCAUCCCCGGCGCCCGCGUCCUCGCGGCCCACUGCCACACCGGCCGACGCCGCUGCCACUCCGCCGGCCGCGGCGGCGCCCCCGCCCCGCCCCUCGCCGCCGCGCGCCGCCCCUCCGCCCUCGCACUCGCAGGCUUCUCCACCUCCCCGGCCUACUGCCUCGCCGCCGUCCGCCCCGCCGCGGACAGUUGCUCCUCCUCCAAGGCCCACGCCGGUCUCGCCCCCGCCAACGUCCCCGCCGCCGACUCCCUCGCUCUCUCCGCCAAGGACGCAUCCGCCAGAGUCCCCGGCCCCUGCUUCACCUCCUGCCGCCGCUCCGCCGCGCGUGCCGGUGCCAUCAGCACCGACUAGCCACAAACCAUUGCCUAAGCCUGCCACCGCGGCUGACCCGGUCCGCCCUAGCACGAGCAAGAACUCAAGUUCCAACAAGCCGUCGGGCCCGGCUCCGCGGCACGGGAGCCCACCUGGCUCCCGUGGGGUCUUUAGUAAUGGUGUCGUUGUAGCCAUCGCUGUGGUGCUUGCCGUUCUUGUGCUUAGCCUCCUUGUCACAGCAGUUUGGUUCACGAACAAGCGCAAGAGGAAGAAAACUGAUGGUUACAGAGCUGGUUUCAUGUCGCCCACCUCGCCUUUUUCCUCGCAGCAACCUUCCGGUUCCGGUGACUCGGCAAAUGCAGGCUUGCCAAUCGAUCCUUCUGUCCACACCAGCUUGUCUAAUAGUGCUGGGAGCCCCAGGCUGAAUCAAUGCUUGUCCGAUAUCAGCAUGGGCAACUCCAGGUUCUUCUCAUAUGAGGAGCUGUAUCAGAUUACCGAUGGUUUCUCAGCCCAUAAGCUUCUAGGGGAGGGAGGUUUUGGGUCUGUGUACAAGGGCUGUCUGCCAGAUGGUACAGAUGUCGCCAUUAAACGACUAAAGGAUGGUGGUGGACAAGGGGAACGUGAGUUCCAGGCUGAAGUGGAGAUAAUUAGUCGGGUGCAUCACCGUCAUUUAGUUUCCCUUGUGGGAUAUUGCAUUUCCAAUAACCAAAGGUUACUUGUAUAUGACUUUGUGCCUAAUAACACACUACAUUAUCAUCUUCACGGACGUAGAAUGCCUGUGUUAGAAUGGUCCACCAGAAUUAAAAUUGCUGCUGGUGCUGCUCGUGGAAUUGCUUACCUACAUGAAGAUUGCCAUCCUAGGAUAAUUCAUCGAGACAUCAAGUCCUCAAACAUUUUGUUGGAUAACAACUUUGAGGCAAAGGUUGCUGAUUUUGGUCUUGCGAGGUUGGCUUUGGAUGCGGUAACCCAUGUAACAACCCGUGUUAUGGGCACAUUUGGGUACAUGGCUCCGGAGUAUGCAUCGAGUGGGAAAUUGACUGAUAGAUCGGACGUAUUCUCUUUUGGUGUAGUCCUCUUAGAGCUUAUUACUGGUCGAAAACCUGUUGAUGCAUCGAGACCGCUGGGUGACGAGAGCCUCGUCGAGUGGGCAUUAUCUUGUGGGUAGAGAAUCGAUCAUGAUGUCUGCAACAGCAUAGUAGCUAGAGCUUGUCAAUGUUUGAAGAAUUGCUGCACGGCUAGGCCAUUGCUUUCUCGAGCUCUUGAUACAGGCAAUUUGGAAGGGUUGGUUGACCCCAGGCUUGAGAAGAAGUUGAAUGAACCGGAGACGUUCCGUAUGAUCGAGGCUGCUGCAGCCUGCAUUCGGCACUCGGCGUCAAGGAGACCCAGAAUGAGCCAGGUGGUGCGGGUUCUUGAAAGCUUGGCGGACAUCGACCUAACAAAUGGAGUUCAGCCUGGGCAAAGCCAGCUUUUCAACGUGGCCAACACGGCGGAGAUAAGGAUGUUCCGGCGGAUGGUGGCCGGCGCGCAAGAUGACAGCUCCGACUUGAGCCUAUACGGUUGGAGCAGAGGCACGGACGCUGACCCGAGUUCCAGGAUCUUGUGAUGAUAGCCUUCUAAGCUUUCUGACUGUAUGUAGUAACUCUUCAGUUACCUAGUAGCGAAUUUAGGUGAUUGUAUCGAGUGAAAGUGGUUCCAUGACCGACCUUAAAUUCUUUAGGAAAUCAAAGUGAUUUGUAGAUUAUUCCCCGAAUCUUGAAAUGUAAUGUAUUUCGAUUUGUCCUAAAUCAAAGCAGUCUAAGUUUAAUCAAAAUUAGAGAAAAAA